rnacentral:lncRNA from 1 species
AGCUUCCUUUUCUCUGCAUCCUUGACAACAUCUGUUAUUUUUUGACUUUUUAAUAAUAGCCAUUCUGAAGGGUAGCAGAUACCAUCUGAAUCUCAUUUUAAUUUGUAUUUCCCUGAUGAUUAGUAAUGUUGAGGUUUCUUCAUAAAUUUGCUGGCCACUUGUUGGUCUUCGUUUGUAAAGUGCCUGUUUAUGUACAUGUUGUGUUCAUGUUAUGUACAUGUUUAUGUACAUGUUAUAUUCUGUUUUUAAUGGGGUUAUUUGGUUUCUUCUUCUUGAUUUGUUUAAAUUCCUUAUAGAUUCCAGAUAUUAGUCCUUUGUCACACUCAUAUUUUGCAAAUAUUAUCUCUCAUUCUCCAAGUUGACUGUUCACUCUCUUGAGAGUUUCUUUUGCUGUGCAGAAGCUACUUCAUUUCAUAGUUGCAUUUGUCUUUUUUUGUUUUUCUUGCAUUUGCUUUUGAGGUCUUAGUUAUAAUUUCUUUGCCUAUGCCAAUGUCCAGAAGAGUUUUUCAUAGGCCUUCUUCUAGAAUUUUUAUAGUUUCAGGUCUCACAUUUAUGUAUUUAAUCCAUUUUGAGUUAAUUUUUGUACACGUCAAGAGGUAGAGGUUCAGUUUCAUUUUUCUGCAUAUGCCUAGCCAGAUUUCCCAGCACUAUUUAUUGAAUAGAGUGUCCCUUCCCCAUUGUUCAUUUUACAACUAACUUUUUCAAAGAUUAGUUAGUUGUAGGUGUAUGGCUUUACUUCUUGGUUUUCUAUUCUGUUCCAUUCAUUUGUUUCUCUAUUUUUGUACCAGUACCAUACUGUUUUGGAUACUACAGCCUUGUAGUACAGUUUGGAGUCAGCUAUUGUAAUGCCUCCAGCUUUGUUCUUUUCUCUUAUAAUCACUGUAGCUAUUCAGGAUUUUUUUAGUUCCAUAUGAAUUUUUGAAUAGUUUUUUCUAAUUCUGUGAAAAAUUAUGUUGGCAAUUUUAUAGAAUUACAUUGAAUCUGUAGAUUGCUUUGGGCUAUAUAGACAUUUUAAUGAUAUUGAUUAUUCCUGUCUAUAAGCAUGGAACGUUUUUCUCUUUGUGUCAUCUGUGAUUUAUUUCAUCAGUGUUUUGUAGUUCUCCUUGUAGAGGUCUUUCAUCUCCUUCAUUAAAUUAUGUCUUGGUAUGUUACUAUUUUGUGACUAUUGUAAAUGGGAUUGAGUUCUUGAUUUCGUUCUCAGCUUGAGUGUUGAUGUACAGAAAUGUGACUGAUUUUUGUGCAUUAAUUUUGUAUCCUGAAACUUUGCUGAAAUCCUUUACCAAAUUGAAGACUCUUUUGUAGAAAUCUUUAGGAUUUUUCUUGCUAUAGGAUUUUGCCAUCAGUGAACAGGAUAUCUUGAAUUCUUCUUUUCUCCUUUUGAUUCCUUUUAUUUCUUUCUCUUGUCUGAUUGCUCUGAGUGGCACUUUCAGUACUGUGUUGAAUAGGAGUAGUAAGAGUGCUUGUCUUGUACUAGUUCUUAGGGGAAAUACUUUCAACUUUUCCUGAUUCAGUAUGAUGUUGGCUGUUAUUUGUCAUAUAUGGCUCUUAUUAAUUUGAAGUAUGUUUCUUUGAUGCCUAGUUUGUUGAGGGCUUUUAUCAUAAAGUGAUGUUUGGUUUUAUCAAAUGUUUUUUCUGCAUCUAUUUAGAUGACCAUAUGGUUUUGGUUUUAUUUUUGUUUAUGUUGUGAAUCACAUUUAUCAAUUUGCACAUGUUGAACCAUCUUCACAUCCCUAGAAUAAAACUCACUUGAUCAUGAUAGAUUAUCUUUUUGAUGUGCUAUUAAAUUUAGUUUGCAGGUAUUUUAUUGUCAAUUUUUGUGUCUAUAUUGAUCAGGGAUAUUAGCCUGUAGUUUUCUUUUUUGUUGUGUCCUUGCCAGAUUUUGAUAUAAGAAUAAAACUAGUUUUGUGAAAUGUGUUAGGAAGGAAUCCCUUCUCCUAAAUUUUUUGCAAUAGUGCGGUAAGAUUGAUACCAACUCUUUUUUGUGCUUUUGGUAAAUUUGGCUUUGAUUUCAUCUAGUUCAGGGCUUUUUUGGUUGGUAGGUUUUUUAUUACUGAUUCAAUUUCAUAAAUCAUUAUUGGUCUGUUUAGGAUUUCAGUUUCUUCCUAGUUCACGUUUUGAAGGUGGUGUGUUUUCAGGAACUUAUCCACUUCCUCUAGGUUUUCUAGUGUAUGUGCAUAGAGAUAUUUAUAGUCUCUGAGAAUCUUUUGUAUUUCUGUUUUAUCAGUUAUAAUGUCAUCUUUAUUAUUUCUGACUAUACUUAUUUGAACCUUCUCUCUUUCUCUCUUUUUUUUUUUUUUUUUUUUUUUUUUUUUUGGGUAAUCUAGCUAGUGGGCUUCUAAUCUGGUCAGGUGGUGAUAAAUUCCCUUAGCAUUUGCUUGACUGAGAAAGACCUUAUUUCUUCUUUAUUUAGGAAGCUUAGUUUGGCCAGAUAUAAAAUUCUUGGCUGAUAUUUUUUUUUCUUUAAGAAGGAUAAAAAUAGGCUCCCAAUUUUGUCUGGCUUUUAAGGUUUCUGUUGCAAAGUUUACUACUAAUCUGAUAGGAUUUCCUUUAUAAAUAAUUUGUUCUUUUUCUGUAGAUGCCCUUAAGAUUUUUUUUUAUCAUUGACUUUGGAUAGUCUGAUGACCAUAUGCCUUUGUGAUGCUUAUCUCAUUUAGUAUCUCACAAGUGUUCUCUGAAUUUCUUGAAUCUGGAUAUCCACCUCUCUAGCAAGAUUAGGGAAUUUUUUCUGGAUUAUUCUCCUAAAUAUAUUUUUCACAUUGCUUAUUUUUUCUUAUUCUCUUUCAAUAAUGCCUAUAAGUCAUAGGUACAGUCACUUUACAUAAUCCCAUAUUUCUUGAAGUCUAUAUUCAUUUUUUAAAAUUCUUUUUUAUUUAUUUUGGUCUGACUGGCUUUAUUCAAAAGACCACUCUUCAAUCUCUAAAAUUCUUUCUUCUGCUUGGUCUAGUCUAUUGUUAAAGCUUCCAACUAUAUUUUGAAAUUCACUUAGUUAAUUUGUCAAUUCCAGAAGUUCUAUUAUUUUAAUAUAGCUAUUCCAUCUUUCAUAUCCUAAAUUGUUUUUCUGUUUUUGUAUGUGCUGGUUUUCAACUUUCUCUUUUAUCUUAUUGAGUUUCCUGGCAGUCCAUAUUUUGAUUUAUUUAUCUGUCAUUUCAGACUUUUUAUUUUGAUUAAGAGUCAUUACUAGAGAGCUAGUAUAAUCCUUUGGAGGUAUCACUAUACUCUGUUUUUUGCACUGCUGGAAUUCUUGCACUAAUUCCAUCUCAUCUGAAGGAGCUGUUCCUUCUUAUUUUUGAAUCUGCUAUUGUUUGAAUGGGACUUUUAUAUUUUUAAAUUCUUUUUUUCCCAUGAGGGUAUGACUGUAGUUUAUGUUUUGUAUGAUUGUUUAACUUUAUUUCUAGGUUGUUUUAGAAGGCCAAGUAUUUGUAUGGGUUCCUUGGUUGGGGUUUUUGUUUGUUUGUUUGGUGGUUUUCGUUGAUACUACUUGUUUCGCAGUAGAUUGGAUGCAUGAACCAACAAUUCUCUCCUGCAGGGCUGAGAAUGUGCAGGUAUCAGGAUGCUUAUCUACUGCACUAGCACUAUGCACUUCUGGAAGCAAGUUUUUUAUUUGGUUGUGCAGUUCAAGCUUCAGUUCAGUAGGUGGCAGUUAAUUGUAAGAGCUUGAUUGCCCUCAGGUAGGUGAUGAUGAGUAGAAGCACCUGCUCUCAUGUGGCCAGUGGUGGUGGGAGAUUGUGUUGGAGUGUGCUAAGGUAUUCUGGGCUGGACUUGGGGAAUGCAACACCUCCUCAUUGUGGGAAGACAAUAAUUCAAUCCACUUCCCUAUCACACCCCUGUCACAGGGCUCAGGACUUUCAGUUUAUACAGACUUCGUCCUGUGUGGCUGUGGACUACAAAUAUGCCCCUCUAGCAGCUUUCACCUAACUGGGCUCAGGGCAGAGCCUUUUCUCAUAGUCCAGAACUGACUACUCUGGCUUGUCUGCCUCUGUUGCUGGGAUGCUGUUACUCUGUGUAGGAAGCAGGAAUUGAGCACUAUCCUUCAUGCAAGAACUAGCUGCACAAACUCACUUUCAACUGGGAUAGAACUGCCACAGGAAGGGCUGGAAUGGCUUUCUCCAAGUGCAUACAUCCACCCCCAGUGAGAAGAGUCUCUGCUGUGUUUGCAACAGUGAACAAGGAAAGCAUGGAGAUGACCCCGUCUCCUUGCCCUUCUUUAUAAUGUGUUUUAAUCUAUUUUCAAUGUAAGCUUGAAAGCACCAAAAAAUAUUGAUGUUUCAUGUCUUCCAGGACAUUCCUACAUUGAUUGUCAAGGUGUUGAAAUUUCCACCAUGUAGUUUUUUCUCCACACUCACAGAGAGGCUCACGGUAAACCUCCUAAAGCAUCUUAUUAAAAGAGAAACGCUACAGCCAUAGUCACAGAUGAGCUCUGGUGACUAAAAUCCCACCUACCACUACUUGACUGUUGCGGUCCCUGAAGCCUACAAAAUCGCAGAAUGAUUGCUGGUUCUCAAACCUCUAGGUUACUUUAUGAUUGGGAAUUUUACAUAUAUCCAUUGCCUGAAAUGCCCUUAGCAUCUAUUACCCUUUGAGACUUAGCUUCAAUAUCAAGUAAUGAAGCCUUUCUUAAGUACCUAGAGAAAAUCAGUUUUCCGGUCUUUCAUGCUACCUUUGUACACACAGCUUUCUGUUGUUACCUUUUCAAAUCAAUCAUUUCACCAUUAUUUCUCUAUGCAUUCAUUCAUUAUUUCAACAAAUAUUUAUCGGGUGUUUAAUAUGUUUAUAGCCAUGUGCUAAGCACUGAGGUUAUACUUUGUCGUGACUCCAUGGUUAAACUCCACAGGGACAAGAUCCACACAAAUAUUCUGUGUGAAGGACACAUAAAUAGUUUGGGGGUACAUCAUGCCUAUGACUGAUAUGAAGAAGGUGUAAACAAAUGUAUAUUGAAUUAAAGAAUACCUUAAAUAUUUGUUUGUAAGAGAUAUAGUUUUAGGAUUUGUUACAAUAGUUAGAAAAGGGUUUCAUGAAUAUGGAAUGAAAGCUUAGACUGCAACUGUUUUACAAAGCGCUUUUAAAAGUAACUACUAAAAUAAUCUAGUAACACUUUUAGAGUCAUUUAGAAAAGAAUAAAAUAAUCUUAGCCUAGCUAACAGGAUGUUCCAAUAAAACUAUUGUGAAGUGGUAGGACUCUUGAUUAUGGUGAGAAUGGGUCAGAAUGGAUGAAUCAACACAUUUGUGUAAAGAAUAAUAUCUAGAAAUGAUGACAAUGUAUAUUUGAAAGAAAAGAGUAUUAAAAAUGUCUUUAAAUUUUCCAAUUUGUUGUACUCAUAGGAAAAUAGGAGGUGAAAAUGAAAUACUUAGAGAUGGUGUCUUAAUUUAUUUCAAGAAUUUGAGGUAAAAAGGAACUGCUCUGCCCUGUUAAUAUGUGAGAUGAGCAAUUUAGGAGGGAGGUCAGACUGGAAAAGUGAAUUUACUGAACACCAUGAUAGUCAUGUUGUUUAAUGACUUAAGAAUAGACAGUAAAAGAGGUUCUCCUAUCAUAGCCCUACAUCCUCUGGAAAUACAUGCUACAUUAAAAUUUAUAUUUCUAUUUCCAUAUGCUUGGUAUGACUAAUGGCAGAAACUGUGAAGAAUCCUAGGAGAAAAAUGGUCUGCAUUUGCUUCAGACUUAUUGCAAAGUGUAUGUAUGAAGGAAAACAUUACUUCUAAUUCUACCAGACCAUCACCUGCAUGAGUCCCUGUGAUGCUUCCCAAAUCCAUCCAAAUGCUUAACUGAAGCUUGAAUUUAUUAUUUUCAAGUUCGAUGUAAAAGUUCUUCUUUUUAAACUUGACACUGUAUACUGUGGCUUAAAUAUUUAAGCAAGGCUCUUUCGAAGAUUGAGGAAGAAACACUCACACAUCAAAAGUAUCUAAUGUUUAAUUCAGCGAGGUAAGCUUUCUCAAACUCUGAAGCUUAUGUGAAGCUGUUUGGAAUUUUUUCAAAGGUCUUUUAUCUCUAAAUCAAAACAGAAUUUUUUUUAAAAAAAUUAUAAUAAUUCUUCAAAACAGAAAUAACUUCUGUCAGAGUUCUUUGGUUUCUACCUAAAAGAAACAGUUACGUGGCAAUUGUUUAUUUAUUUCUACAUGAACCCAACAUGUUCAAAUUCUAAAAGAUUUAGACAAGCUUGCUUCAGUCAUACAUAAAGAUUUUGAAAACUUAUUAUUCAAGCCAACUAAGAUUCUUGCUAGAAAACUCAAACAAAGAACAAUAAUUGGUUUGAAAACUGCAGAAUAUACUUUGUAGAUUAUGACUCUUCAUUGAUAAACAGAUAAGUAAACACCCACAAAUCAAUAUGUAAACAAUAGAACUGGCUAUUAAGUUUUUGCUAAAAGAUCUUCCUUGAGAGAGUUUAUAGAAUUUGCUAAUUUUUUCUUUUUUGUCUUAUUUAAUGUUAGUUAUCAAAGCCAAGUCUUCCCAGACCCUUACUAAUUAAUCUCAACAAUUUGUUUUUGAAAUUUUGAAAACAUAGAAAUAUUAGGAGAAUCUCCACUGGAGUGAUUCAAGAGAGUUCUAAAACAUGGAGACUGACAAAAACAUUCAGAUAGAAAUCUGCAGUUAAUAGUAAUAAAAUGACGGCAGUCACUGUGAUGAUAUGAUAAUUGUGAUGAUUAGGCUGCUGGUUUGGAAUCCUGGAUAAAUCUCUUAAACUAGCUUUAUGGCUUUUAGCAAGUUAUGUAACCUUUGAAAUAUUCACCUGGUUUUUAAAACCACAUUCUGUGGAUGUAAGAUCUAAAUAAGAUAACCCAUAUAAAUAAUGUAGUAUGUCUCGCACAUACUAAGCGCAUGCUAAGACUUUCCCCAUGCUUUCUUUUUUUUGGCUUCUUUUAUUAUUAUUAUUAUUAUUAUACUUUAAAUUCUAGGGUACACUUGCACAACAUCCAUGUUUUAAGUCUCCACCCACUUGUCCUUGAAAAUUCUAAUCUCUUUUGUUUACCAAGGCCAGUGAUAAUGAAGUCUUAUGAUAAAACCUGUUCCUAUAACAUUCCUUCUAGUCAUUACACAUUUUAAUCUCUCGUUUAUUAAGUUAGGUGCCUGUAAUAAUAACAUUUUCUAGAAUAUUUUUUACUGCUUUUAGCAUGGCUAACUUUUUUCACCUUUCCUUCAGUAAAUGCUGCCUCAUUUUAAGGUUUAUUCUGAACACCCA